AGUGAAGGAACCACAGGACCCAGCGGUGCUCAUUUCACCUGGCUGCUGACCUGCAUCUGCAGCCCAAAAAGGACUGGCACAGCCUAGAGAGCAUCAGACAAUCCUGGAAUGGGUCGGUAGGGACCUUCAUCAUCAUCUAGUCCCAGUCCUCUGCCAUGGGCAGAGACACCUCCCAUUAGAACAGGUUGCUCAAGGCCUUAAGCACCUCCAGGAAGGGAGCAGCCACAACCUCCAGGGGCAAGCUGUUCGGGUGUCUCACCCUCUGCCUUCCACUGACAAGGCAUCUCCUGCUUCCUCCCCACCUCCAAUUUGUGUGCACAUCUGCACAAAAGCUUCACAGUUUGUGCUGCGAGGAAGGAAAGCCACACAGAAGACUUUCAGCUUUCUCCCUGGGCUGACUUGUGAUGAGGCAGAGAAAGCUCCUUUCAAAUGCAAACUCCCUGGCCAGAGCCUAGGAAGGGAGAAGACUUGGGAACAUCAGACUGCAGAGCACGACUAACAAAAGACAAAUCCUCAGGACUGUCGACUGCAUUUGAAUUCACUGCUGCCUCUCCCGAAGAGCAGAGCCUUCCACAACUGCCACAUGUUAUCACUCGGAGAAGAUCUGUCUGCUCCAAGGUGUCUUUGAGCAUCUGCACCCUCUGUGUUCACCGCUCUGUGCCCGAAUUGCUUUGAAUCCCUCCGUCUGUAUCUAUCACCGUCAUUAAAUCCUGCAAGAACCUCA